rnacentral:rRNA from 1 species
UACAGAGGGUGCAAGCGUUAAUCGGAAUUACUGGGCGUAAAGCGCGCGUAGGUGGUUUGUUAAGUUGGAUGUGAAAUCCCCGGGCUCAACCUGGGAACCGCAUUCAAAACUGACAAGCUAGAGUAUGGUAGAGGGUGGUGGAAUUUCCUGUGUAGCGGUGAAAUGCGUAGAUAUAGGAAGGAACACCAGUGGCGAAGGCGACUCACUGGGCUUUAACUGACGCUGAGGUGCGAAAGCGUGGGGAGCAAACAGGAUUAGAAACCCGGGUAGU